CACGUAGAUAACCUACCCUUUUGAGGGGAAUAACGUCUCGAAAGAGACGCUAAUACCGCAUAAGCUCUUCUCUGCCAGGGGAAGAGGAAACCUGCUCCGCGAGGGGUGGGGCAAAAGGAGGGGUCUGCGGCGGAUUAGCUAGUUGGUGGGGUAACGGCUCACCAGGGCGACGAUCCGUAGCUGGUCUGAGAGGACGGCCAGCCACACUGGGACUGAGACACGGCCCAGACUCCUACGGGAGGCAGCAGUAAGGAAUAUUCCACAAUGGGCGAAAGCCUGAUGGAGCGACGCCGCGUGGAG
rnacentral:rRNA from 1 species